GACGAACGCUGGCGGCGUGCUUAACACAUGCAAGUCGAACGGAAAGGCCCUGCUUUUGUGGGGUGCUCGAGUGGCGAACGGGUGAGUAACACGUGAGUAACCUGCCCUUGACUUAGGGAUAACUUCAGGAAACUGGGGCUAAUACCGGAUAGGAGCUCCUGCUGCAUGGUGGGGGUUGGAAAGUUUCGGCGGUUGGGGAUGGACUCGCGGCUUAUCAGCUUGUUGGUGGGGUGGUGGCUUACCAAGGCUUUGACGGGUAGACGGCCUGGGAGGGUGACCGGCCACAUUGGGACUGAGAUACGGCCCAGACUCCUACGGGAGGCAGCAGUGGGGAAUAUUGCACAAUGGGCGGAAGCCUGAUGCAGCAACGCCGCGUGCGGGAUGACGGCCUUCGGGUUGUAAACCGCUUUCGCCUGUGACGAAGCGUGAGUGACGGUAAUGGGUAAAGAAGCACCGGCUAACUACGUG
rnacentral:rRNA from 1 species